rnacentral:misc_RNA from 1 species
GUACACACCGCCCGUCACGUCAUGAAAGUCGGUAACACCCGAAGCCAGUGGCCUAACCCUUGUGGGGGGAGCUGUCGAAGGUGGGAUCGGCGAUUGGGACGAAGUCGUAACAAGGUAGCCGUACCGGAAGGUGCGGCUGGAUCACCUCCUUUCUAAGGAGCACCACGAAAAGCAUUCCCGUUGUGGGGGUGUGAGCCGUGAGGAGUCGGGGUCUGUAGUGGGCGCCGGCUUGGUGCACAACAACAAUUCUUGCUUCGUUUUGAGGCUGCAAUUCCGCCGGCACACUAUUGGGUCCUGAGGCAACACCUGUGGUGUCUUGGCCGUUGGGUCGGGUCGGGUGGUGUCGCUCCAUCUUGGUGGUGGGGUGUGGUGUUUGUUUAAUUGGAUAGUGGUUGCGAGCAUCUUAAACAAAAGUGCUGAUUAUUCAGUUUUUUGUUGAGUUUGUUUUCUUGUGUUUGUAAGUGUUUUAGGGCGCACGGUGGAUGCCU